UCUACCCAAAUCCUAACCUGAACUAAACAACACUCACCCACACCCCAACAUCACAGCCACACUCCCCCAAAUUUCCAAAAACCCUAGCUGCUACCCUUACCUCCUUCAGAAACUUAACGCACACACAACACACACACAACAGCAGGAAAACAAAAAAAUGAAAGAAGAAAGAAAGAAGAAAGGAAAGAGGGAAGGGACCGAGGAAUGAAGGAGAGGGGGAGAAGGGAAGGCGACGUGGUGGGCAUCACUACCACCGUCGCCGCCACUGCUGACAGAGAAGAGAGGGAGAGCCCAGGGGAGGAGGAGCUCAGUGCCGCCACUGCAUCCUGCUGUCCGCACCGUCACCGUCGCGUAACCUGUACCGUCGCCACCGUCCGUCAUGGCGCACCAUGCCACGUCACUGUCGAGAAUAGAGCUGCAGGGAGAGAAGGCUCGCGAGUGAGCGAGAAGGUUGCAAGACUGGAGACCGCCACACCCAGUCACAUCCAUGAAGCCAUCGCCGCCUAGCCCGACCCGUCGCCAAACCGCGUCGCCGUCCGUGAAGCUGUCUCCGUCACCACUGUCGGAGGUUGCUGUUGGAGCUGCUGCUCCAGUUCCGUCGUUCUUCUUUUUCACAGGUUAAUUUUAUGGGUUUGCAUGUCGAAAUUGAGGUUGUUGCUGAACCACCGGAGCUUCUGACUACUGUCGGAGCUACUGCCGAAUAAGUUUAGAGUGGCUACUAUACCGUUCUUUUAUUCCAGUAAGUGUCUAUAUCUCGGAAUCCUCGCCAUUACUAUUCUGUUAUGUGUUUUAAGGUUUUUGCGAUAUUAAUUUUUUUUUAGGAUUUAGUAAUUGAGGUUGCAUGUUGUAAUUAAGGUUGUUUUUGCUAUUGAAAAAGCAUUCGGAACUGAGAUUUUGGUUGCCGUUGACUUCGGGUUGAGAGAAAAGAGUUCAGUUGAUGCGUUUGGGUUAUGGUUUUGACUUGUCGAGGUAGAGACUUUUUCUAAAAACUUACUUUUGUGAUUGAAAUUGUUAUAAAUUGAUGUUGAUGUGCAAAAUGUAAUUUUGGUGAUUAUUCAAGCCUUAUGAAUUGUCUGAUUUAUCUUGGAUAAAUAUGGUUGUUGAUUGAUUUAAUUAUUGACUGAUUUUGUUAAAGUGGAGGUUGCUGAAAUUGGUUUGAUUUUUGAAAUAAUUUUUAUAUUGGAAAGACUGAAUUCUGUUUAUUUGGAAACUGAUUUGGUUUUGAAUCCGUUGAAAAGGGUUGCGGAAUGGUUUGGUUGGGACCCAGAAAGGGUGGCAAAGUCCAAGGUUUAGGAGAGGUACUGCCGAAAUUUCUAUAAAAUUUGAGACUUCAUUUGAAAUAUUUUGAAAUUUAUGAAUUUUAGACUUAUAUUAUUUUAUUUGAAUUAUUUAAGUAAGUGGUGAAUUAUGUUUUGAAUUGAAUUAUUGAAAAGAGAACUAUGAUUAAGCUUUGUUUCUUAAGAAAAUACUUAUGUUUUGAGGCUAUUUUAAAUGUGAGAAGGGUUUAUAUUUUUGAAUUUGACUUAAGAAUUUCAUUCGGAGGAGUUUUAGUGAAUUUAAAAGAAAAUGGACUUUGAUCAAAUGACCCCGUUUGCAACGUUUUGGAAAAGUUAAGGAAUUGGUUUUAAGGAAUGAAAUUGAAAAUUAUUUUUGGUUCAAACAGAUUGGCUUUUUAGUUCUAAAUGAUUUGGUUUUUAUUUGGAUUUCACUUGAUUAACUCAAACCAAGAAAACAUGAUUUUUGAGAAUUUUAAUGAACUUAAGGAAAGGGAUUUGGUUGUUCUUCUUAAAGUCUUGAGACUUUGUCAAAAGAGUCGAUUCAUAACUCCGAUUUAAAGUAGUUAAACGGAUGAUUUGAAGGUGAAGACUUUUGAAUCUUUUCAAAGAAAAUUACACUUGAUAUGAUCUUGGAAUUAUUUGGAAGUUUUGAGAAAAUGUUACAUAGAGUGGCUCCGUUUUAAAAGGAAAUUGAUCUUGAGGAAAAAGUGGCUUAUGAGCCUUAAAUAAUUUGAGAUAUGAGGAUUUUGAAAAUUUAGACAAAGCUGAGUUUGAUUUUGGUUUCAAAAUAAAGUGAUUUGAGGAAAAGUAACAUAUGACAUGAAUGAUGAUUGACUUGAUAUGAAUUGUUGAGGAAGUGCUUAUACACUGCAUGUGUGUGAUGAUAAAUGGCUAUAAUGAGAUUAAAUGAAUCGAAUAUGAAUGAUUAUAUGAGUAUGCACUUCUUUAUUUGAGAUACGAGUUUUCUUGGAUAGAUGCAGUGGCUUGCCACCAUGUGCUUCAGGUUGAGACUCGAUACUCUGUUGAUCCUACGUCGCAAGAUGUGGACGGACACUUUAACUCCACGAGAGUUCCCCCAAUGAGUAGAAUUUGUUUAUGAUUUGAGAAAAAGCUAUGCAUAGACUCUUGGGGAUGCGCACACAUGGGAUUUUCCAGGGUUUAGCAGCUGGACAUGUCGGGUUGGCUUUAUAACCAAAAGAUGAGACUCAUCAGCCAUAGGACAGGCAUUCAUUAUAUGUAUCUAUGUGACAUUGUUUGGGCAUGCAUAUUGUUAUUGGUUUGCCUAUGUGAAUAAUUAUGUUUAAUUGUUAAUUGCUCUAUUUGAGGUAA